GGUCUGACUGUGUAGCCCAAGGUAACUUUGAAUUUGAGAUUUGAUUUGAGAUUGCCUCUGACAAGGAGACAAUGAAAAUAAAAUUGAAAGGAAUGGAUGGGUGAAUAUGAUAGCUAUUAAGAAUUGUUUCUUCUUUAUUUUCUCAGCAGAAAGUGAAUGAAAGUUUUUGUAACUUUAAUCUUUGUUAAAUAUCCCCCUCUUUACUAAUAAAAACUGGUAGUCAACAGAAUACUGAGUUUACUUUUUUUUCAUAUUUUUUAUUAUUACGUAUUUCCCUCAUUGACAUUUAGAAUGCUAUCCCAAAAGUCCCCCAUACCCUCCCCCCAACUUCCCUACUCGCCCAUUCCCAUUUUUUGGUCCUGGCAUUCCCCUGUACUGGGGCAUAUAAAGUUUGCGUGUCCAAUGGGUCUCUCUUUCCAGUGAUGGCCGACUAGGCCAUCUUUUGAUACAUAUGAGUUUACUUUUUAUCAUGUUUUAAUUUUGAGAUUAUUAUUAUAGUAUUUCUUACUUUCCUCGCCAAACCUCCCAUGUACCCUUUCCUGCUCACCUUAAACUUCAUGAUGUCUUUUCUGAAUUUAUUUUUAUAUAUUUACUAUUUGUAGCUCAAUAUUCUGUGUCCACCCAAGAACUUAACUGUGUAGCCAGGCUGGGUUGGUACUACCAACAAACCCCAUGCUUUGGCCUCUGAAAUACUGGGGUUACAGGUGUGAGUUACCAUACCUGGCUCUUAGCUUAAUGUUCUUUCAUAGAUAACACAGAAAUAACAGAUAUUUCUGUGAGCAUGGAUCAGUCAGUUUUGUACAAAUUAUUUGUGAAAAUGAGUUUUCAUAAACCUUUUUUUGCAUUCUUUUAUUGAAAAUAGAUUCCUUCACAUACAAUUUAUUCUGAUUACAAUUUCCCCUUCCUCUACUCCUUCUAGUUCCUCCCUACCUCCUUAUAUGUGGAUCCACUCCCUUUUUGGCUCUCAUUAGAAAAUAUAGGCUUCUUUGAGAUAACAACAAAACAUAACAAAAUAAAAUAUAAGAUAAAACCAAGACCAUCACAUGGAAGUUGACAAGGCAAACCAACAGAAGGAAAAGAGCCCAAGAGAAGGCAAAAGAGUCAGAGACCCACUCAUUCACUCACUCAGGAUUCCCAUAAGAACACUAAACUGAAAGCUAUAAUAUGUACACAAAGAACAUGGUACCAACUCAUGCAUGCUCAGAGCUUGCUGCUUCAGUCUCUCUGAGUUCAUAUGAGCUAUGCACAGUUGAUUUAAAGGGCCUUGUUCUCCUGGUGUCUUCCAUCUCCUAGCUCUUACACUUGUUCUCCUUUCUCUUUUAUGGUAUUUCCUGAGCCUUGAAUGGAGGGAUUUGAUGGAGACAUCCCAUUUGGAGAUGUGGGUCAUAAGGCCUUUCUCUCCACAUAAUAUAUGGCUGUGGAUCUCUGAAUUUAUUUCCAUCUGCUGAAAGAGGAAGGGUUCUCUGAUGGUGUCUGAAUAAGGCACUGGUUUAUGAGUAUAACAGAAUAUCAUUAGGAAUCAUUUUAUCACUACUUUUAAAACCAGGAUUAUUUGGUUUUAACCUAGGCUUCUGCCUCUUGAUCAACCAAGAAGUGUUGAAUAUAAGGUUCAUUUCAUGGAGUGGGCCUUAAGUCAAAUGAAACAUUGGUUGGUUAUUCCCGCAAGCUUUGUGCCACCAUUUCUCUAACAUAAUUUGCUGGCAGGGCAGUAUUGUAGAACAAAGGUUUUGUGGCUGCAUUUGCUUCUAUGUUCCACUUUUGGUAACCUGCAGAGUACCUUCCU
rnacentral:lncRNA from 1 species